GGCGAACGCUGGCGGCGUGCCUAAAACAUGCAAGUCGAGCGGGGGUUGGCCGCGGGGCAACCCGCGGUUUCAGCUCUAGCGGCGAACGGGUGAGUAACACGUGGGUUACCUGCCCCGAAGACGGGGAUAACCUCGGGAAACCGGGGCUAAUACCCGAUACCCCCCUCCGGGGGCAUCCCUGGGGGAGGAAAGGGUUGGGCGCAAGCCCUUCCGCUUCGGGAUGGGCCCGCGGCCUAUCAGCUUGUUGGUGGGGUAACGGCCCACCAAGGCGAUGACGGGUAGCUGGCCUGAGAGGGUGGUCAGCCACACUGGGACUGAGACACGGCCCAGACUCCUACGGGAGGCAGCAGUUGGGAAUCUUGGGCAAUGGGCGCAAGCCUGACCCAGCGACGCCGCGUGGGGGAUGAAGGCCUUCGGGUUGUAAACCCCUGUCAGGAGGGACGAAGCCCACUCCUGGAGGGUGGGUGACGGUACCUCCAGAGGAAGCCCCGGCUAACUACGUGCCAGCAGCCGCGGUAAGACGUAGGGGGCGAGCGUUGCCCGGAUUUACUGGGCGUAAAGCGGGUGUAGGCGGCCGGGUAAGUCCCGUGUGAAAGCCCACGGCUCAACCGUGGGACGUCGCGGGAAACUGCCCGGCUUGAGGGCAGCAGAGGG
rnacentral:rRNA from 1 species